UACGUAGGGUGCGAGCGUUGUCCGGAAUUACUGGGCGUAAAGAGCUCGUAGGCGGUUUGUCGCGUCGUCUGUGAAAACCCGCAGCUCAACUGCGGGCUUGCAGGCGAUACGGGCAGACUUGAGUACUGCAGGGGAGACUGGAAUUCCUGGUGUAGCGGUGAAAUGCGCAGAUAUCAGGAGGAACACCGGUGGCGAAGGCGGGUCUCUGGGCAGUAACUGACGCUGAGGAGCGAAAGCGUGGGUAGCGAACAGG
rnacentral:rRNA from 2 species